UACGUAGGGAGCAAGCGUUGUUCGGAUUUACUGGGCGUAAAGCGCGUGUAGGCGGCCCGGUAAGUCCGCUGUGAAAGUCGGGGGCUCAACCCUCGGAUGCCGGUGGAUACUGUCGGGCUCGAGUACGGAAGAGGCGAGUGGAAUUCCUGGUGUAGCGGUGAAAUGCGCAGAUAUCAGGAGGAACACCAAUUGCGAAGGCAGCUCGCUGGGACGUUACUGACGCUGAGACGCGAAAGCGUGGGGAGCAAACAGG
rnacentral:rRNA from 1 species